GUACACUCCUACGGGAGGCAGCAGUGGGGAAUUUUGGACAAUGGGCGAAAGCCUGAUCCAGCAAUGCCGCGUGAGUGAAGAAGGCCUUCGGGUUGUAAAGCUCUUUUGUCAGGGAAGAAACGGUGAAAGCUAAUAUCUUUUGCUAAUGACGGUACCUGAAGAAUAAGCACCGGCUAACUACGUGCCAGCAGCCGCGGUAAUACGUAGGGUGCAAGCGUUAAUCGGAAUUACUGGGCGUAAAGCGUGCGCAGGCGGUUUUGUAAGUCUGAUGUGAAAUCCCCGGGCUCAACCUGGGAAUUGCAUUGGAGACUGCAAGGCUAGAAUCUGGCAGAGGGGGGUAGAAUUCCACGUGUAGCAGUGAAAUGCGUAGAUAUGUGGAGGAACACCGAUGGCGAAGGCAGCCCCCUGGGUCAAGAUUGACGCUCAUGCACGAAAGCGUGGGGAGCAAACAGGAUUAGAAACCCGUGUAGUCCC
rnacentral:rRNA from 1 species